CUUCUUGUUCUGCGUUCGAAUCAUGACUUUUUUCUACUAACUUUUUAUUUUCGUCCACUUCAUUUCAUCUUGAUCAUUCUCAUCGGAUGGACUUUCAUCCCCUCUUGAAAUUUCAUCGAACCAUCUUAGCCAAACCCCCGGAUCCAUGCUCGUUUUUAUUCUCUUGUUUCCCCUCUUCUUAGGAUCGGACAUAAUAUUAUAUUCCUGAAACAUGAAUAUCAUAAGAAUACAUAAAUAUAUAUCGAAAUUUUACGAGUCAUUAUGUGAACUCGAUUAUGUUUUUAAAUGAUAUUAAUGCCAGAAAAACAUAACUUAUCAAUGUAUUACAGUAAUACGUUAUUGAUAACAAGUACGACCGAUUGAAUUAUGAAUCCUACAUUGUAAUAAUGCACCUUUCUCUGAUUUAAUGGAAAUUGUUUCACGAUUAAAUUAAAAAAUACAUCAAUCCGAAUUCAUCAAUACUACAAUUAAUGUUUUCACAGAAUUUAUUUUCAUUUUUGGUUUAGUGUCUCAACAGAAAUUAACCUUAAGAGCGUUGGCGUUCAAAACAGUAAUUGCUCGUAGGCACGUCCAAAAAUGGUAUCAUAUAUUGCUGUAAUUCCUCUCAAGAAUUAUAUAUCGCAAUAAAUUAAAAAAAUGUUCAGAAAAAAAUGAAGCAACAUAUAAAUGUAAACCUUCUCGUCUCUCAUCACAUCACAGGGUAUUCUGAAUAAAAUCUUAUUUUUCAUUUCUAAUUUAUUUUACAUAACAAAAAAAAAUGCCAAACUCGGUCAAAGAAAAUAAACAACGAAAUUCGUUGAUAUUAUGUCUGUUCCCCCAAUUUUGCCACUGUGUAUAUUUAUGAAACCUUGUAACGGUUCGAUUUACACCAUUGGAUAUUUCGAUUGGUGGUGCGCCCUCUAGAGAUUGAUUGUGAAUUCAACUCGGAAUAUUCCGUAUUAAUUUAAAUUUCAAUUUAUUAUAGAACAGUUAUUUCCGGAUAAGUGAAGGCGAAUAUCAUUACCGUUGGAAAAUAUUUUAUAGUUUCUGGAUUUCUUGUAUUAUUUUUCGUCUGUGUGGGAAGUUUCGUUUGACAACUGGUAGAUUCUGUGGUUAUGAAUGAUUGUCAAAUGGAGGUUAUCGGCGAUUUGAGAUAAUUUUGAAAGAGAUUUUUUUGGAAGAAAAUUGGAGAAUAUAUGAUCUCGAAUCAUCCUUAUUAUAGGCUAUUAUUUCUUCAAUUUGAGUAAUUCCCUGUUUAGUUUAUGGUAUUGUGAAUAUUUCUGGGAAAAACGUUUUGUACGUGAUUAUAAAAUUUUCCUUCCACAAGGGCCAUCUCUGGUAUUGAAUUUUACUCUGAAGAUCUGAGAGGAUUCGCUUCCCGGCGAUUAGUUCGAACAACUGUGGAACUUACACGAAGAAUAUCAAGAAGAUCCUUUUCCCUCGAACAAGAACUGAGAGGGUCCUAGUGCCUGGGUAACGUUGAGACUCCUAGUGCCUGGUUGAAUUGAAUAAUCCUAGUGCCUGGUUGGAUUUGGAAUCCUAGUGCCUGGUUACGUUCAGGAAUUCUUAGUCUGGUGUAUAGUACGGUUGGACUUUAUGGUAUUUAUUUUCUGGUAUAUGGUGGUGGAUUUCUGGUACAAUUCUGGUGGAUGGUACAUUCUGAUAGAUGGUACAGUUCGAGUACGUAGUAUAUUGCUGGCAUAUGGUGUAGCUCGAGUAGAUGGUACAUUCUACGUAUAGAGAUCUCACCGUUAGAUUUGCUGUCAACCUUCAAUAUUGAUUUUGUAUCAGGUAACCGGUGCUUGCACUGGGUUGAGAUUUAGUUUUAGAAGUAACGAUUUAGUGUACUGAUGGUAAAUCAGUCAUUGGAAUAGGAGUUAACGGUUAUAUUAUUAAUUUUCUGUCCAUUGACAGUUAUAUUUAAAUAUAUUGGAUAAAGGUUGUUUGUUGCUUAUUAUAUACUGUUGAAAUUGUAAACAGUUUGCGGUAAGGUGCCCUUCACUAACUGGCCAUUUAUUUUAACAACUAUAAUACUUGUGUAUCCCUUCAGGAUUUGUAACUGGAAUUUAUUAUCACUUUAUUCAACCUGCUAUUUCAUACCAGCCAGUUAUUACAACCACUGUAUAUGUAUAUUCCUUCAGGAUCUGUGGUUGAAGUUAAUCUUUGUGUUUGAUUUGGUUAUUUGUCUGGUUUAUUAUCUUGUAUAGUUGGAGUUUUCGAACUCUGUUUAUUUUUCAGUUUCGGUACUGAAGUUUGAGGUUAAGCCUAAGCCGAGUGUAGGCUGAUUAAGGAUUCUGUUGUCAGGAUUAGGUUAGGUAUUAUAGGUUAUAGAGAGCCCUUCUGGCAUUUGUUGUUGAUUAUAGUUUAUAGGAAGCCCUUCUGGCAUUUGUUAGUAUUAGGUAAAGUUUUUGGGAAGCCCUUCUGGCUCUUGGUAGUUUAGAGAAUUCUUUUUCAUUAU